AACGAACGCUGGCGGCAUGCCUAACACAUGCAAGUCGUACGAGAUCCUUCGGGGUCUAGUGGCGCACGGGUGCGUAACGCGUGGGAAUCUGCCCUUAGGUUCGGAAUAACAGUUAGAAAUGACUGCUAAUACCGGAUGAUGACGUUAAGUCCAAAGAUUUAUCGCCUGAGGAUGAGCCCGCGUAGGAUUAGCUAGUUGGUGUGGUAAAGGCGCACCAAGGCGACGAUCCUUAGCUGGUCUGAGAGGAUGAUCAGCCACACUGGGACUGAGACACGGCCCAGACUCCUACGGGAGGCAGCAGUGGGGAAUAUUGGACAAUGGGCGCAAGCCUGAUCCAGCAAUGCCGCGUGAGUGAUGAAGGCCUUAGGGUUGUAAAGCUCUUUUACCCGAGAUGAUAAUGACAGUAUCGGGAGAAUAAGCCCCGGCUAACUCCGUG
rnacentral:rRNA from 1 species